rnacentral:rRNA from 1 species
UGGUCAUAUAAUGUUGAAACACUGGUUCUUGUCCAAUCACCAAAGUUAAGCAAUGUUGAGCCUGGUCAGUACCUAAAUUGGUGACCACUUGGAAUACCAGGUGCUGUAAG